GAUUUCUGGUACGGCGCGCUUGGCCCGCCAGGGUUACCUGGUUGUGUGCUGGUGCGCGCCUGCCAUCCUUUUGCAUUUCAGUUCUAUCCUUUACUGGUGUGUAACUGGUUUGCAAAUCUUUUACUUUGAAAAAAUUAGAGUGUUUAAAGCAGGUGUUGCGCCUUGAAUACAUUAGCAUGGAAUAAUAAUUUAGGACUUCUGCCUAUUUUAUUGGUUUCUAGGUUUGGAGUAAUGAUUGAUAGGGAUAGUUGGGGGUGCUAGUAUUCAUCGGCCAGAGGUGAAAUUCUUGGAUUCGAUGAAGACUAACUAAUGCGAAAGCAUU
rnacentral:rRNA from 1 species